rnacentral:rRNA from 1 species
CCUACGGGAGGCAGCAGUGGGGAAUUUUGGACAAUGGGCGCAAGCCUGAUCCAGCAAUGCCGCGUGAGUGAAGAAGGCCUUCGGGUUGUAAAGCUCUUUUGUCAGGGAAGAAACGGUCUACUCUAAUACAGUGGGCUAAUGACGGUACCUGAAGAAUAAGCACCGGCUAACUACGUGCCAGCAGCCGCGGUAAUACGUAGGGUGCAAGCGUUAAUCGGAAUUACUGGGCGUAAAGCGUGCGCAGGCGGUUAUAUAAGUCAGAUGUGAAAUCCCCGGGCUCAACCUGGGAACUGCAUUUGAGACUGUAUGGCUAGAGUGUGUCAGAGGGGGGUAGAAUUCCACGUGUAGCAGUGAAAUGCGUAGAUAUGUGGAGGAAUACCGAUGGCGAAGGCAGCCCCCUGGGAUAACACUGACGCUCAUGCACGAAAGCGUGGGGAGCAAACAGGAUUAGAUACCCUGGUAGUCCACGCCCUAAACGAUGUCUACUAGUUGUCGGGACUUAAUGUCUUGGUAACGCAGCUAACGCGUGAAGUAGACCGCCUGGGGAAGUCGGUGCAAAGNUUAAAACGNAAGNGAGUUGCGNGNGNGNGNGCGAGNGACGAGGAGGAG